rnacentral:rRNA from 1 species
GUUUAAGCGUGUAGGCUGGUUUUCCAGGCAAAUCCGGAAAAUCAAGGCUGAGGCGUGAUGACGAGGCACUACGGUGCUGAAGCAACAAAUGCCCUGCUUCCAGGAAAAGCCUCUAAGCAUCAGGUAACAUCAAAUCGUACCCCAAACCGACACAGGUGGUCAGGUAGAGAAUACCAAGGCGCUUGAGAGAACUCGGGUGAAGGAACUAGGCAAAAUGGUGCCGUAACUUCGGGAGAAGGCACGCUGAUAUGUAGGUGAGGUCCCUCGCGGAUGGAGCUGAAAUCAGUCGAAGAUACCAGCUGGCUGCAACUGUUUAUUAAAAACACAGCACUGUGCAAACACGAAAGUGGACGUAUACGGUGUGACGCCUGCCCGGUGCCGGAAGGUUAAUUGAUGGGGUUAGCGGUAACGCGAAGCUCUUGAUCGAAGCCCCGGUAAACGGCGGCCGUAACUAUAACGGUCCUAAGGUAGCGAAAUUCCUUGUCGGGUAAGUUCCGACCUGCACGAAUGGCGUAACGACUUCCCUGCUGUCUCAACCACAGGCCCGGUGAAAUUGCAGUACGAGUAAAGAUGCUCGUUACGCGCGGCAGGACGAAAAGACCCCGGGACCUUCACUAUAGCUUGGUAUUGGUGUUUGGUUCGGUUUGUGUAGGAUAGGUGGGAGACUGUGAUACUGCGCCGCUAGGUGUGGUGGAGUCGCAAGUUGAAAUACCACUCUGAUCGGAUUGAGCACCUUAACCUUGGCCCAUGAUCUGGGUUGGGGACAGUGCCUGGUGGGUAGUUUAACUGGGGCGGUUGCCUCCUAAAAUGUAACGGAGGCGCCCAAAGGUUCCCUCAGCCUGGUUGGCAAUCAGGUGGUGAGUGUAAGUGCACAAGGGAGCUUGACUGUGAGACUGACAGGUCGAGCAGGGACGAAAGUCGGGACUAGUGAUCCGGCACCUACUUGUGGAAGUGGUGUCGCUCAACGGAUAAAAGGUACCCCGGGGAUAACAGGCUGAUCUUCCCCAAGAGUCCAUAUCGACGGGAUGGUUUGGCACCUCGAUGUCGGCUCGUCGCAUCCUGGGGCUGGAGUAGGUCCCAAGGGUUGGGCUGUUCGCCCAUUAAAGCGGCACGCGAGCUGGGUUUAGAACGUCGUGAGACAGUUCGGUCUCUAUCCGCCGUGCGCGUUGAAACUUGAAGAAGGCUGUCCCUAGUACGAGAGGACCGGGACGGACGUACCUCUAGUGUGCCAGUUGUCACGCCAGUGGCAGGGCUGGUUGGCUACGUACGGAAGGGAUAACCGCUGAAAGCAUCUAAGCGGGAAGCCUGUUUUAAGAUGAGGUUUCUUUUGAGGUUCCCUCGAGACGAGGGGGUUGAUAGGCCAGAUCUGGAAGAGUGGUAACACUUGGAGGUGACUGGUACUAAUUUACCGAUAAACAAC